CUUGUGACUGAGCGGCGGACGGGUGAGUAACGCGUGGGCAACCUGCCUUACACAGGGGGAUAACAGUUAGAAAUGACUGCUAAUACCGCAUAAGACCACAAAACCGCAUGGUUUGGUGGUAAAAACUCCGGUGGUGUAAGAUGGGCCCGCGUCUGAUUAGGUAGUUGGUGGGGUAACGGCCUACCAAGCCGACGAUCAGUAGCCGACCUGAGAGGGUGACCGGCCACAUUGGGACUGAGACACGGCCCAGACUCCUACGGGAGGCAGCAG
rnacentral:rRNA from 1 species